AAUUAAAUACACAAGGUUGAGUUGGCAAAAUCAACUCCAACCUACCCUUUAUUAAGUUGCCCACAAAUAUUAUUAAGUGUCACAUCUGUCAAGAUCAUCCAACAACUGUAAUGGCAUAGUGGCUCAAAUUUACCCAUAACCGGGGGCACGGCUAAUCAUGAUUAGUUUUAAUACUCUGCAGAGUUUUGUACGCUUUACCCACUGGACCCAAUCCGAAGAUUGAGACGAAGUCUUUCAGAAGCAGUCCCCUAGUCCCAACAGGAGGCCCAUCCCAACUAUUAUAUCUACAUCUGCUGGCACAUCUGGGUAAGGGUUCCACAACUGAUCAACUAAGCCAGAGCCCAUAUAGCCAGUGGCCGCACAUGGAAGCUACUAGUCACUAAGUCUGUCUGAUCUUUUUGAACUUGGGCGGCCGUCCACUUACAUUCAGAGGGUAAAAACCAUGAUGUUCUUGAAACCACCCUUCAAUACCAAUUCCGCCCAGAGGUGAAUUAAGUCCUCAAUUACUACUCAAUUUGAUUAUAUUUAUAAUCCUCACAUAAUCUCAAUAUAUACACGAACCACCCCCGUCUACAAAGCAUAGCAAACUACAACUACCACGAUUUGCAAAAGACGAGAAGAUAGCUCAACAUCAUAUUGCAAAAUAAUAUAGUAUUCCUAUACAUGCAUAAAUUCAUAGUGUGAUAUAACUACAUGCAUAGAAAACAAUAGGUAAAGGAUGAUCAACAUGUAACUUGCCUUGGUUCUGGUUCAGAAAGUCACACUCCUGACAAUAGUUUGCCUCGCACUCCGGACAAUCUACACGUUUCACACAAUUCAGCAAAUCAAUCACCGAAACACGAAUAGGACCAAAAUAAAAACCAACAGCAAGAAAAACCAUUUUAAAACACAACAACAGCAGCAUAACAGCACCUAAAUUGUACUACGGUCACAAUGCAAAAAGAAUCACUCGAAUCCGAUAAACGGUUUGAGAGAUACGGCCUCCGGAAGGUUUAUUUCAAAUUCAAACGAAUUCAAAUUUGAAAAGUGCAAACAUGUGCAAACUUGGUACUCUGAUAAAGUGCUGAUUUUUGUGAGAUCAUAGGAAAAAGAAUUACCUAAUUUGGGUAUACAGAAUAAAAGCUAUAGCUAUUUGAAGUUUUGAGUGAAAAACUGGAAAAAACAAAAACAGCAACAGAAAUCGCCUGGUCCUGUGCGGCACUGUAGCUGCGCCUAUAGCAGUAUGCCACGUGGCAGUUUGUGAUUGGCCAAAGGAGUUCCCCGUGCGUUCGUGCUCACCAGAACAGAGGAAGGGCGGCGGCGGUCUCGGGCGUUGGCGGUGGCGCUCCUCCGGCGAUGCUCCGGCGAAGUUGAGGGGGUGGACGGGUGCGGUGUUGAGUGGCGGAGGCGGUGGUGGUGUUCGACGACGGCGAGGACCUCCUCUGCAGCUGCGGUGGCGGGGUGAACGUGACGUGCUCCGGCGGUGGCAGACGUCGGUGGCGGCGGUGUUCGGCUGUGUCUCAGGCGACAAAACAACGUCAAAACAGUGAAGAGAUGAGCGGAUGGUCGAGGAGAGUAAACGGGGUGGUCCGAGGCGUCCUUACGGCGGCGGGAACGACUGGCGAACGGCGGCGGCGGCGGAGCUCCACGGCGAGAUGCGUUUCGCCCUCGCUCGAGCGUGCGGCAACGAGGAAGAACGAGGAGUGGAUGCGGGGUCGCCCUGGGUCUUCUGCUUGCACACGGCGACUCGGGAGCGCUCGAGGUGGACCAGGGUCGCGGGGUAAACCGGCUUGGCCUCGGCGUGCGCGCGGCGCGGCUGCGUCCGGCUCGGGGUGGAAGAUGGGUGCGGGGCCCGCUGGUCAGUGGCUGGGGCGAGGGGUCGAUCGGGCGCGGGUCGGGUGCGAGCGUGCGGGCGUACCGCUUCGCUAGGUUUAGCGGGCUGCGGGCGGUGGGGUUUGGUGGGCCGCAGCGGUGCGGGGGACUGGGCCGCGCAGUGCGGGGUUAGGUGGGCCGCGGCGUCGGCUGGCUGGCUGGGUAGCUGGCUGUCCGGCUGUUUUUUUUUGGAACACAAAACUACAGAAACACAAAUAACUAAAAUAAAAUAACCACAAUAAAAACUAAACAAAAAUAUAGAGACACACUGUAAAAUAUUUACUACUAAUAUAAACUACAUGAACAAUAGUUCCUCACCUAAUGCAAUUUUAGAAAUUCAUUUUGAUGCAAUAGGACACUCAAACAGCAAUAAAACAAUCAAAUAAAAUAUUUUUAAGAUUGCAAAAAUUACCAGAACAUAUCACAUGAACUGUAAAUAAUAUUCUGCACAUUAUGAACAUUUUUAAAAUAGGGGAGAAGUCAUGUUAUCUCCACUCCAAAUAAAUUGCCUUUUGUUGCAUAAUGAUUUGAAUAUUCUGAAAAAGCAAAUAAUGCAAUAAAAUUAUGAUAUGCAUAUGAAUGAUCUAUUAACAUCCUAAUUUAGGAAAAUACUACUUCGCUAUCGGUCACCCAGGAGUAUUUAGCCUUGCAAGGUGGUCCUUGCUGAUUCACACGGGAUUCCACGUGCCCCAUGCUACUCGGGUUAGAGCGUAAGCUAGUGAUGCUUUCGGCUACUGGACUUUAGCCAUCUAGGGUGCGGCACUCAACCGCUUCGCCUAGCAGCACAACGCUUGUAUUGCUCUCCCACAACCCCGUUUUCACGGUUUAGGCUGCUCCCAUUUCGCUCGCCGCUACUACGGGAAUUGCUUUUGCUUUCUUUUCCUCUGGCUACUAAGAAGUUUCAGUUCGCCAGGUUGUCUCUUGCCUGCUCAUGGAUUCAGCAGGCAGUUUAAAAGGCCCACUGGCGAUGCUGAGUGCAGACUCGCGACCCUAACGGUACCUUACUCGUCGUCUGAAUAUCCUGCAACAUGAGACGUUGCAGCCAUAUAGAUCAAUAUUUUGAAUGUAUUGGCAAGUUACACAGGAGUAAUAAUAUAGCAGACCUACAUGUAUAUGCAUAGUACAACAAAGGAAGGCUUGAGGGUUUAUUUUUGCAUAAAGCUGAUUUUAUCCUACUAUAUACCUAAUAGUCAAAUUUUUAUUUAGUUCCUUAUUACUACAAUUAAAUACACAAGGUUGAGUUGGCAAAAUCAACUCCAACCUACCCUUUAUUAAGUUGCCCACAAAUAUUAUUAAGUGUCACAUCUGUCAAGAUCAUCCAACAACUGUAAUGGCAUAGUGGCUCAAAUUUACCCAUAACCGGGGGCACGGCUAAUCAUGAUUAGUUUUAAUACUCUGCAGAGUUUUGUACGCUUUACCCACUGGACCCAAUCCGAAGAUUGAGACGAAGUCUUUCAGAAGCAGUCCCCUAGUCCCAACAGGAGGCCCAUCCCAACUAUUAUAUCUACAUCCGCUGGCACAUUCGGGUAAGGGUUCCACAACUGAUCAACUAAGCCAGAGCCCAUAUAGCCAGUGGCCGCACAUGGAAGAUACUAGUCACUAAGUCUGUCUGAUCUUUUUGAACCUGGGCGGCCGUCCACUUACAUUCAGAGGGUAAAAACCAUGAUGUUCUUGAAACCACCCUUCAAUACCAAUUCCGCCCAGAGGUGAAUUAAGUCCUCAAUUACUACUCAAUUUGAUUAUAUUUAUAAUCCUCACAUAAUCUCAAUGUAUACACGAACCACCCCCGUCUACAAAGCAUAGCAAACUACAACUACCACGAUUUGCAAAAGACGGGAAGAUAGCUCAACAUCAUAUAGCAAAAUAAUAUAGUAUUCCUAUACAUGCAUAAAUUCAUAGUGUGAUAUAACUACAUGCAUAGAAAACAAUAGGUAAAGGAUGAUCAACAUGUAACUUGCCUUGGUUCUGGUUCAGAAAGUCACACUCCUGACAAUAGUUUGCCUCGCACUCCGGACAAUCUACACGUUU
rnacentral:lncRNA from 1 species